AGUGAACGCUGGCGGCGUGCCUAAUACAUGCAAGUCGAACGGAGUGGCGCACGGGUGAGUAAUAUAUAGCUAAUCUGCCCCUUGCUGGAGGACAACAGUUAGAAAUGACUGAUAAUACUCCAUAGAAAGGGAUGAGACUAUAUCGUAUCAGCGAGUCGGUGGGGUAACGGCCUACCGAGGCUAUGACGGGUACCUGGUCUGAGAGGAUGAUCAGUCACAUUGGAACGGAGAUACGGUCCAGACGCCUACGGGAGGCAGCAGGAGGGAAUAUUGCGCAAUGGGGGAAACCCUUACGCAGCAACGCUGCGUGGAGGAUGACACUUUUCGGAGCGUAAACUCCUUUUGUUAGGGAAGCGGUACCUAACGAAUAAGCACCGGCUAACUCCGUGCCAGCAGCCGCGGUAAUAC
rnacentral:rRNA from 1 species